rnacentral:rRNA from 1 species
GAUGAACGCUGGCGGCGUGCUUAAUACAUGUAAGUCGAACGGAUGAUUAGCAAUAAUUAUUAGUGGCGAACGGGUGAGUAACGCGUUGGUGACCUGCCCCGAAGUGGGGGAUACCAGUUCGAAAGGACUGCUAAUACCGCAUGAGUUCGUGCGAGGUGAGACAGCACGAGGAAAGCCACGUGAGUGGCGCUUUGGGAGGGACCUGCGUCCCAUCAGCUAGUUGGUAAGGUAACGGCUUACCAAGGCGACGACGGGUAGGGGGCCUGAGAGGGUGACCCCCCACACUGGCACUGAAACACGGGCCAGACACCUACGGGUGGCAGCAGUAGGGAAUAUUGCACAAUGGGCGAAAGCCCGAUGCAGCAACGCCGCGUGCACGAUGAAGGCCUUCGGUUGUAAAGUGCUUUUCUGCAGGAAGAGGAAGGACUGUACUGUAGGAAUAAGGAAUCGGCUAACUACGUG